rnacentral:rRNA from 1 species
UACGUAGGUGGCAAGCGUUGUCCGGAAUCACUGGGCGUAAAGCGCGCGCAGGCGGCGAUCUACGUCUGGGGUGAAAGCCCAGAGCUCAACUCCGGGACUGCCUUGGAUACGGGAUCGCUUGAGAAUUGGAGAGGCAAGGGGAAUUCCACGUGUAGCGGUGAAAUGCGUAGAUAUGUGGAGGAACACCUGUGGCGAAGGCGCCUUGCUGGCCAAUUUCUGACGCUGAGGCGCGAAAGCGUGGGGAGCAAACAGG